CCAAUUUGAGCUUGAAAGGCACUUGAUCUUAUCUAAUCUUGGAAGCUAAGCAAGGUCAGUCCUGGUUGGUACUUGGAUGGGAGACCGCCUCCGUAGAUUGUGUGUCUGGC
rnacentral:rRNA from 11 species